AAUGAAAAUUGAAAAAGAUUUCAUUUUCAUAUAGGAUAUGGAGUUAUCAAAAUCGAGUUCUUGACCUUGACAUUGGCUUAAUGAGUUUACUUUCAUAAUAUCACAUUUUAUUUCAUGGAAAUGUCAAUCGUUUAUUGAUAUAUACGUCGUCGAGAUAUCUUUUUGUUUUAUUCGAUCGUUUGUAAGCAUUAUGCGUUACGAAACGAUAAGUAUACGAAAGAUAAAGCGUUAUAAAUAUAGUUAAUAUACGUAAUAAUAUGACUUCAAGAUUGCUAGAGAUAUCGAUCAAUGUAAGUUAAUGGAUUCCGAUCACGUUAUUCGAGCACGAUCAUUCGUGGGAUGCAUUUGGAAACACCAAUCGGAACUUGUAAUCGCGCGAAGACUUACACUUCAAUUUUCGUCUCAUGAAGAAAUCACCUUUCACUCUCGUGCUCGCAUUCGAUACGAACGGUUAAAUCUUUUUGCUUGCAAAUUUACUUUACUUCCUUUUUUUUUUUUUGUUUUUUAGUUUAUCUACGUUAUUUCUUAGUAACAAAGAUCUUCUCUAGGUCAAAUUUAAUUCGAUGUUAUUUGUAAGUGUUCUUUUGAAAUUGAUGGUUCGACUACGUAAUGGAAGAAGAAGAAGAGGAAAAUGAAGAAAGAAGAAAUUUAAGAUUAUAUCAUGAUCAGACGAUAGAAGGGAAAAAAAAGAAUUAGGAUUAGAAGAGACUCUCAGUGGUCCAGAGAGACAGCCUCUAGACAUGGAUAAGCGUGCAGCUGUCGUUGCAGUUGCAGCCUCGAGCUUAGAGAAAGGCAAUAACAUCAUGUGUAUUAACGAUGACUACCGCGAGGGUGGCGAAAAGAAGAGCAGCAAGGACACCGUGACUACUUGGCAUGUCCGCACCGGGUUUGAUGAUAAACGAAACUAGUCCAGCUUCCGUUGAACCGCGAGAGAGAACAGUUUGCCAGGUUUACCGUAUGCUGUAGCCAACAAAAAGUCAAAAUAAAAUAAUAAUGGAAAUUAAUAAUAAUAUAUUUAAAUAUUGAGGACUUAAAUGACAAGUUGGAAUCAUAAAAAGUGAAGAGUAAUAGAGCAUGAAUUGUUUAGAAUAAUUUUUUUAUUCUAUUGAAAUAUUGGAGGAAUUUUUAAUUAAUUUAUUCAGAGUUGAUUUCUGUUUCAGGAAAAAUGUAAAUAGACAAGAUUCGAUUUCACUCUUUCUAAAUUGUAUUUUCGUUGUUGUUUUUAUAUGUGAAUGAGAGUAUGUGUGUACGUGUAUAUAUAUAUAUAUAUAUAUGUAUAUAUAUGUGUGUGUGUGUAAUCUCGAUUGAUUAGAAAAAAAUUUUUGAUUCAUUUCGCGAUUGAUUUUGUGUUUUUUUCUCCAAAUUAUAAUGAUUAUUGUUAUUUGGAAUUAAAGAGUAGAGUCUUAGUUCGUGGGUCUCCGGCAACCUCCAAGUGGUGAGACCUGGAUCGAUAUUAUUUGCGAUAUACAAUAAAUGUAAAUAACACAAGUACUGUCGUGCUAAU